AUUUUCUAAAAAAAAAAAAUUUCUUCACUCUCAUUUACUUCAAAUAUACAAUUCCUCUCAUUCAACUAAACUAAUCAACUACAUUCCCAUCCUUUCCUUGUGUAGUAGAUCAUUUUCAUCCUCAUUUAAGAAUAUGAAUCAUUAUCCCGUUAUAGUGUAUUGGGGUGGGGAAGUAAGUUAUACUGGAUCCGAUGUUGGGUAUAAUGGAGGAUUAAAUACAGUGAUGUUUAUCCAUCGUCAAAAUACGACUUUUGAGGUGUUUCUUAGCAAAGUCUAUGAUGUAAUUGGUUGUGAUCGCAACCCUUUUAUGUUAAAAAUGGAGAUGAAAUACCCGGUGACUUUUGAGGUGUUUGUUAGCAAAGACUUUCAUGCCUGUUCCAGACAUGUUCACCUGCGAUCCUUGGAACGGUCCUACAGUUGUUCCAGAUCCUUCAACGAAGCAUGGAAAGGGUUGUCCGCGAUCAACUCGUAUACGGAACGAAAUGGAUGCACCGUUGACGCGUCCUCGUAAUACGUGUAGCUUUCGUGGAUUUAGUGGUCAUAAUAAGAAAACAUGCCCUCGAAGGUCAACAAACGAUCAUGGCGAUGCCGAGCCCAGUUGAUCCAUCAGUGCUUACGCUUCAGACAACACACGGGAGCAUAGCUGCGUGGGAGGGCUCCACUGCCCAAUUAGUUACUCAUCCACCGAUGCGCAAAACAAAAGGGGCCGAGGGUUGUAGUGUAACAAACUUUGUAUAUUCUUAUAUGAUUUGAACUUCUUGUAUGACUUUCCAUGAUUAUAAUAU